rnacentral:lncRNA from 1 species
AAUGACUAUGUUAUGUAUGAAAACCUUAAGAAUAGUUAAAUUACUUGAAUACCCCUAUGUAUGCAAAAUUACCAUUAUACCCCUAGGGUUACUUUUGACUGAAAAGCAUGACGAUCUGAUUCUGUAUGAUGUAUGCCAUGAUUAUAUAUUUGUUGCAUGGGGACUUGGGUUAUACUAUGGAGGAAGCAUCCUGGUGGCUGUGCCACAAUUAUCUGAUCUG